CAAGAAGCCACCACUGACCCCCAACAAAGAUGGCAUUCCACUCAUGAUCCAAACGCUUAUUAGAUAAACUGAGCCCAGUCAACACUUGUGUGGCACAAGUUGACGAGUCUGACAGUUAGUCGAGGAGGAAAGGAGAUGCGCAGGUGCAGAGGCCAGAGUAUCCACUACAUACAUCCUUUCCCUUCUUGAUGACCUCAUCAGGACAGCAAAUCUUCUGAGAAAGACCAAGUGCAUAAUUAGAAGAACAACUUGUCAUGCCACCAGCAUUCCAGCCAGGGGCGGACUGGCCAUAGAGAGAACCAGGACUUUUCUCAGUGGGCUGGCUGCGAAACGGGGCUGAAUGGGCGGCGAUAAGCUGAAACGGGCCGCUGCGUUAUGCAGAACGGGCCGCAACUGACUGAGGAGGGCACCACGAUAUGUAGAAACGGAAAGCUACUCAACCGACCCACCCCAACCCCAACAACUUUUGGGCUGGUUUCUAUGGAAAAUCCAGGGCCGAUUUCUCUUCCUAAUCCACCCCCGAUUCCAGCUAUUUUUAGUAAUUCUUUUAGCAAUAUGGUUGUGAUUACUAUCGAAGUAAUACUCCAACUGCAACAAUGUUAGGACAACUUGUCUUAGGAUGUACAGUAUAUUCACAACUAUGAUUUAAGUUAAUGUAUUCAUGUACUAUAUACAUGUGCAAUUACCAAUAUUAUGGCAUUGCCAGAUCCAAAUGGCCCUGAGUUUCUCCAGAUCAUUUCUGGCCCCUCAGUGAUUGCACAAGCAAUAUUCUAAACAGAGCAUACUUCCAGUUCCCUCAACUGAAAUACAUAUUAUAUAUUCAUGCAUAAAUGCAUUGUUAAUAAGAACACAAAAAUUCAUUUUUUAUUUUUAUUUUUAGUGUGGGUAUUGCC